GACGAACGCUGGCGGCGUGCCUAAUACAUGCAAGUCGAACGAAGCUUUUUUAACUGGUGCUUGCACCGACUUAAACAACUGAGUGGCGAACGGGUGAGUAACACGUGGGUAACCUGCCCCAAAGCGGGGGAUAACAUUUGGAAACAGAUGCUAAUACCGCAUAACCACAGAAACCACAUGGUUUCUGUGUCAAAGAUGGUUUCGGCUAUCACUUUGGGAUGGACCCGCGGCGUAUUAGCUAGUUGGUAAGGUAAUGGCUUACCAAGGUAAUGAUACGUAGCCGAACUGAGAGGUUGAUCGGACACAUUGGGACUGAGACACGGCCCAAACUGCUACGUGAGGCAGCAGUAGGGAAUCUUCCACAAUGGACGAAAGUCUGAUGGAGCAACGCCGCGUGAGUGAAGAAGGUUUUGGGAUCGUAAAACUCUGUUGUCAGAGAAGAACGUGUGCGAGAGUAACUGUUCGUGCAGUGACGGUAUCUGGCCAGAAAGCCACGGCUAACUACGUGCCAGCAGCCGCCGUAA
rnacentral:rRNA from 1 species